rnacentral:rRNA from 1 species
GGUGAAACGAGGGCUUAACUGUCUCCCUCUUCUAGUCAAUGAAAUUGAUCUACCCGUGCAGAAGCGGGUAUAAUAGUACAAGACGAGAAGACCCUUUGGAGCUUAAGAUAAAAGACCAAUUAUGUCAAAAGACCUAAAAACUAAACCAAAUAACACUGGUCCUAAUCUUCGGUUGGGGUGACCACGGGAGAAAAUAAAGCUCCCAUGCGGACCGGGACUUUCCUAAAACUAAGAAAGACAUCUCUAAGACACAGAACAUCUGACCACAAAGAUCCGGCUACAUGCCGACCAACGGACCAAGUUACCCUAGGGAUAACAGCGCAAUCCCCUUCCAGAGUCCAUAUCGACAAGGGGGUUUACGACCUCGAUGUUGGAUCAGGAC